AUAUUAUUUUUACUCCCAUUUGUCAGAAUUUUCUCACUUUCUGCUUCCCCUUGUCGUCCCCUCUAUUUUCCCUCACUGUUUCUUUGAAUUUUUUCUUCUUUUUCUUCCUUUUUGUGCCGCCCAAUUAAUCAUCAACUUCCCUUGCCUCAUAUUUUAUUUUGCUGCUAUUUUUUACUACCAUUAUCUCACCCUUGUAGCCCCUUUUCUCCUCCAUUUUUGCCGUUCCAGUAAGCCACCAUCUUUGUCGUUGCCACCCUUUUGAUUCUCUUCCUCUAUUCUUCAUUAUUUUUUUUUCGUCACGAUUUUGAGCAAGUAAAUUACUUUUUCUUUGGUGUUUGAAUGUUCAAGAUCUAGAUCCAAACCAUAUGGAUCAGCCAUAGCGUUGGGAAGACUGUUUGCAAAGUCAUCAUAAGUCAGUUAAGAUCUGAGUGAGAGCUAUCUAGAUCUCAAGCCUAAGAGUUGCGAGAAAGCGACAGAUUUCAGAUUAGUGCUAAAACAUCUAUAUCCAAACCAUACAGAUCACCUGUAGCGUUGGGAAGACUAUUUGCAAAGUCAUCAUAAGUCAAUUAAGAUAACCCUCAGGACUAGGGCCAGAUUCGACGUAUGGAGGUCUCAUCUCGUAUUUUUACCUAAUAAAAUAUUUUGAAUUUUACUUUAUUUAUUUUGGUAUUAUUAUUUUGGGAUUGUAAUUUUUAUUUAAGUAUGGACUGUGGUAUGAUACACUUUUAACUUGGAUUUUGUUUGCAUGAGUUUUUUUUAUGAAAACUGAACAAAUUUUAAAACUGA